rnacentral:rRNA from 1 species
GGCGAUGAAGGACGUGCUAAUCUGCGAUAAGCGUCGGUAAGGUGAUAUGAACCGUUAUAACCGGCGAUUUCCGAAUGGGGAAACCCAGUGUGUUUCGACACACUAUCAUUAACUGAAUCCAUAGGUUAAUGAGGCGAACCGGGGGAACUGAAACAUCUAAGUACCCCGAGGAAAAGAAAUCAACCGAGAUUCCCCCAGUAGCGGCGAGCGAACGGGGAGCAGCCCAGAGCCUGAAUCAGUGUGUGUGUUAGUGGAAGCGUCUGG